UUAUUAUCAUCAGCAGCAGCAUCCGGAUCUUUAUUUUUCACAGCAACUGGGUUAUCAGCAUCAUCAUUAACAUUGGAGCAGCUCAUCAAAUUGAAGCUUGUAGUUUGGGGUAUGGUUACGUUUUUUACACAGGCCGGCUUCCGUUGUUUUAAAGUGCUUGAAGGCUUGUUUCUGCUGUUUAUAUUAUCACGAUCAGUUGUAGUAGUAACUGUUGUUGCUGUUGUAGUUGUUGUUGGGUUGUUGAAUAAGCUCGGGCUUUGAGGAAGGUUUGAGAUAUUUUUGAAGCUAUGGGUAUGAUCAAUUGAAGAAGUGAAGUACUGAUCAGCGAGAAGAUACUGGCUGAUGAGUUCUAAAGUUGAUGCUUCAUUCAGAGAUGCCAUAUUGAAGGUAAGAUGAAAUGUAAAUGGAAAUUGGUUUGGUGUAUUUUGAGUGGAAAAAAAGAGUGUUGGUGGAUUUGUAUUUAAAGGGGAAGAAAAAAAAUGAGAAAUCAAACUUUUUGUUGGAAGCAAUGAGGACGCUUCCCCAGUCGAGGCUUCUUGGAACCUUGGCAUGUGAGAGAGAGGAAAUUUAAUAACGGAGUUGCGUUACGUUUAAAGAUUGGUGUGAUUGAUGGAUUUUUUUUUUGACUUGUUGGUUUUCUAUUUGACGUUGUUUAAUCAUAGUGAGGGUCCAUGAACAAGAUUCCCGGUCUUUUAAUAGUCGCUCACUCAGUUUCCAGGCUAUUUCAUUAAAUUAAAUAAAGAUUUCUUUCUUUUUCUUUUUUUAAUUAUUAUAAAAAAUUUGGACUUUUUUUAAAAUAAAAAGAAAAAGUGCCAAUAAUGACUCCCCACCUAGAACUAUAUUACAAAAUGAUGUUAUAAUAGGACAAAAAAAUAAAAGAAAAAAUAUUUAGCCACAUUAUUUAGGUUGACCUUUUGUUAUCGGAGCCAAUGAAAUUGCUGUCUACUGGUAAACCCCGUCUCUCCAUAUAGGUAGUACUACAAAAUUUAUAUACGUAUCUAAAAUCUUAAUAAAAUUCACAUUGUAUGUAUUUUUAUUUGUGGAGUUUAUGAUAAACACGUUAAUUUUUCUCUCCAUAUAGGUAGUACUACAAAAUUUAUAUACGUAUCUAAAAUCUUAAUAAAAUUCACAUUGUAUGUAUUUUUAUUUGUGGAGUUUAUGAUAAACACGUUAAUUUUUAUUUUCUUUGUACGAUCUGGAAUCUUUUGUUUUCUUUAAUUAUUAGAAAACAUAUGGCGUUAGAAAACUUGCACAACACAAACAGAACACUAAGGUCUUGCAUUUCGUUACUAACACCACUACAAGAAAAAAGGGAUUUAACAACGUGUAAUUUACGUUGUUGAAGGCAUUCAACAACGCUCGCACGCAUGCUGUUAAUGUUGAUGUUGUCUUAAGUUGAAUAUUUUCAACAACAUUCUCUGCGCGUUGUUAAAAGUUUUUUGCUUCUUGUUGAAAUUUAUUUAGCUACAUUCAAUAAAUGUGGCUGAAACCUUAUUUUGCUUGUAUAUUUUCAACAACAUGCAGACAAAAGUUGCAAAUAACAUUUCGCUUUAAGAAUACACACACACAUUUUCAUUAAAAGCUCUACACGUUUAUUAAUAUACAAAUUAAUAAAAUUAAUAAAACUAAUAAUAUAUUGAUAUAAAAGAUUCCAUUAACAUCCUCUUGUAAUUGUCAAUACAAUAUUCUUAACAAUUGUGAAAUGUACAAGAAUUUAAUAACGCAAAAUAAUAAUUCUUAUAGUAGUCUCUUUUUCUCAGUGGUAAUUGAUCAAAAUAUUACCAAAAACUCUCAACCAAAUCCAGUUCUUCAAUCUCUCCAUGAUAGCAUUAGCAAUAAACCUCAAAAUCUCCCAAAGUGAUCAAUUCCUGCACAAGCAAGACCAAAUUCACUAAACAUUGAAAAUAAUUUAACACAAGCAACUAAUAAAAAAACAAAAUCAGCAAUCGAUAUUACAGAGAUGAAUUUAGUUUUGGUACAAAAAUUUAAUUGAAUUGUGACAUGUUUUGUGAUAGGUUUAUUAUCAAAAAUUUUAAUUUUCUGUAAUUGUCUACAUUGUAAAAUUUAAAUACUAUCAAUCCAAAAAAUUUAUAAUAUUAAUCCUCGUACAAAAUCUCAAACGCAUUAGAACAAAUGUAUAGUAAAAAAGAACUACAUCAACAAAAUGACAUUUAGUAAUCACCAUUCAAAUUCAACUUGCAACUUAAGUUUCCCAUUAACCUCAAGAAUACAAGGGCGGUUGGUCGUGCCACAAGUGUCGUAACUCCAAAUGCUAUUCCUGUUAAGAUAAAAUAGGUAAAAAUGAAAAUUCAAAUUAAAGGAACAAUACCAUUUAACUAUCAUUGAGGAAUGAUGCAUUAAAUAGGCUUAAACUUCUGACAGUGGCUUACAUUUUUCAAGAAACUACAUGAUAUGUAAUGACAUUCUGAUAUGGUUUGAAAUACAACUAUCAAACUUCAGUUAUUUGAAACAAUGAUUAAUCUAUUUUGGAAAAAAGAUAAAUCAAACUUCAGUUAUUUGAACCAAGAUCACAAAUAAAAAACUAUAGUAUUUGUUGCGUGCCAUGACUUUUAAUUCGAUAGAAUGGUUGAAUUAAAAAACCAUUAAAAGUAAUUAAAAAUAAUUAAACUUCCAUUGAUUUCACACCACUUCCACCUGCAACCAGUCUGCCAACUUCUCUGCAAGUGUAACAAAUAGAGCAAGUUAUGAUAAAACCAACAAUAAUAAGAAAAAUAAUAAAAGUAUGAAGUUAUAAUUACACAUGAAUAGAGCAAUGGCUCAUGUAGUCAUAGAAUACAAUUAAAAGUCCAAAAUCCACCAAUUAAUUAAUUCUAGCCUCAAUUUCAUCACUGGAAGCAUGGGGACAACUGAACUGAGGUUUCCACAAAGGUCUUAAGCCAUGCAGGAAUUAGAAGCUAUUAAUUAUAUUUUAUAUGUCUACUUGUCACAUGUUGAUAUAAAUAAGAAUAGAGAGAAUAGAGAUGUAGAUUAAAUGAUACCUCAGCAGGAACCAUGGGUGCAUUUACAGCAGUAGCAGCUAGCUCCCAUUUCAGGGCCCCAACAAUAGCUUCUGAUAUUUCAAUGGGCAAACCUUCCUGACAUGUAUUUAUUGAUAAAGCAUAUAUACAUGUGCCUCCAUAGUGCUAGCACCAAGAUGUGGAAUCCCAGCGAGGUUUCUUUUCUUCUUAGGUGGCUACUGCAGCCGUGGUGAGCUAACAAUUCAACAACAGGUUUUCAAUGCUUUACAAAUUCUAUAUAUGUAUAAUAGUAUGCAUCUUAACAAAAUUAAUAACAUCAGUAUGCAUCUUAACAGAAUUAAUAACAUAACCAACAAUGGAAAGAGUGAAAAUUCAGAAAAAAAGCGUAAAAUCAGAAAAUAAUAAUACCAUCAAAUUUGAAUUAACAAAUUAACUAGAUAUAUUAGAAAUUAAAUAUCUCAAAAACCGAAUCUAGAUCAAGUGAGGAAUCGGCUGGUGGUCGUGAAUCGGGAAAUGUUGAGGUUUGCAAGUGAGGAAUUGGCUGGUGGUCACGAAUCGGGAAAUGUUGAGGUUUUAAUUGGGGGAAUUCGAGAUAAAGUGAAAGAAAUAGAGAACUGGGAGGCAAAACAAAACUGACCAAACUAGGAGAGAGCGAGAACUGCGACAGAGUGAUGAGCCAAAGGUGAGUAAAUCCCGACUAUUCAUUGCAAGAACUUUGACGCGGCGGCAACGGACUAUGUUUUCUCAACAAUACAUUGAACGCGGCAGCAAUGGGCUAGGGUGUUCAAACAAUAUUACUGGCAUGGCAGCAACAUACUUGAACGGUGAUAAAACGACACUGUUUUCUCGACUGAUUGAGUGCAGGAUUGAUUUUUUAGGGUUUGGCCUUGAGAGAGUGAUGGGUGUUUGGGUGAGAGUGUUAAAUGGAGAGAGUGCUUGCGAACUGGGGGUAUAAACAUUAGGGAGGAGCAUUGGUCAUGAACGUUAAACGCACCAUUUUUGUUUCACAUGUAUAUAUGUUGAAAAGAAUUCCAUUUUAAAACACAUUCCGUUCUUUGUCUCGUAUUUUUAUUUUUUUAAUUUUACAAUAAUUAAUUAAAUUUUAUAUUAUUUUUUUACUAAUUUAUUAACAAUCAAAUAAGUAAUAUUUAGUAAUAACAAAAAGGCAAAUAGAUAAUGUGAUUAUUGAUUCGCCAUUUCAAAUUAAUAUUUGAUAAUUUAGUUGAAUUAAUAUAUAGAUAAUUAAAUACUAAACAAACUCUAUUAGCGGCAUAACAUUUAUCUAUUAUUUAAUUGGAUUUUACUUAAUACAAAAUAGUAUUACAAAAUCUGAAAUCUAAUCUAAUAAGUAUUUAUCAUUUAAUUAAUAUAUUCAAAUUUUGAAUACCAAAUCCUAAACUUUUAAAUUGAAUUAUUAUAUAAAAAAUCACUUAUUAUAUGAAAUUAGCGCUUUGUUAUUAUUAUUUUUUAGGCUUUGUUACUAUUAUAGACGUAAAAAUGGUAAUAAAAAUAAUCAAGGGAUUAACAAAAUAUUUCACAACAUACUAAGAAGCAUGUUGUUGAACAUAAAUAACAACGAGCAAAAGAAAGUUGCGAUAUAUUUUUAUUAACAACGUAACAUAUUUGAAUGUUGCUGAAGAUAAAACUUUUAACAACGUACUUAGUUUGCGCGUUGGCAUUUGGUUUAUGGAAUCCACCACAAACAUAAAAUUGUUGUGAUAAUGUGUUUAACAACGUGUCAUUACGCACGUUGUUAAUGGUAAACUUUUAGUAACUUUUAGCAACAUACGAUCCUAAAACGUUGUUGAAUACCAUAUUUUACAACAAGCAUAGCAUGCAUGUUGCUGAAUUCCUGUUGUCUUAUCUUAUUUUUCUUGUAGUGCACUGUAACACACUACUAGCACAUAAGCUUAGAUGAUGGUGGAUGUAUACCUUGAGGCGUAUACCUUAGAUGAUGGUGGAUGUAUGUUCAAUUAUGAACAUUUUGUUCCUUAUUAGUGAAGAAAAUAUAUACUACUUUUCUGUUAGCACAAAUAUUUGACUCUGCAUUUAAUAGAUGGUGAUCUUUUAACGCCAUGCUUGGUGGAGGGGUGGUCACUACUACAUACUAUAGAAUUCGGUCAAAAAUCCCUAAUAAUAUUACCUCGAGUAAUGCUUAUCUAUUGGAAAAAAUAAUAAUAAUAAAAUUAGUACUCAAAUUGAUUCUUCAACUUUUAUUUUAAUUAAUAUUACGGAAUUCUUUGGUGGUUAUUCUGACAAACAUUUCUUUAACGUUGUCUUCAUAAGCUUAUUAGAUUGAUUCUCUGUUUAAUUAAGUUGUAUCUAACAAGUUGUUUUGUUUUGUUUUUCCUUUUUAAAAAAAAAAAAAAAAAACUUGCCAACAUAACAGAUACGAGCAAUGAGAUCACCGAAGAAUAAGCAGAACAUUUUACCGUUUAUUUAUUUAUUUUAAGAAGAAGAGAUUUUGAAUUUGAUUAAUACUGAAAUUAAUAUAUACUACUUACUCCUUUAUAAUUUUCAUAAUACUUAAAAACUCCCAUGGCACUCAAAAUUUAAAGGAAAAGAGGCGUAAAUGGAUAAUUAUUUUGAGAAAAUAAAAUAUAUAUUUACUAUUAGAAAAAUUUAUAAAAAUAACAAAAAUAUAAGAAAAGUGUGUUGUUAUUAAUAUUUUUUUUUAUAUAAGUAUGACAUUUUACCAUUUUUUUAUUUAUUUUAAAGAGAGAUUAUCAAUUUCGCUCCUAUUGAAAUUAAUAUAUACUACUUAUUCCUUUAUAAUUUUCAUAAUAUCUAUAAACUCCCAUGGCACCAAAAAUUUAAAGAAAAAGAGGGUAAAAGGUUUAUUUGCUUGAUAAUUUAUCUUGAGAAAAUAAAAUAUAUAUUUAGUAUAAGAAAAAUGUAUAAAAAAUUACAAAAAUAAGAAAAAUAUUUUAAUAUUAAUUUUUUACUAAAGCCAAAACAUUUAUUUUCUUAUUUUUAAUACUUAAUUUUUUUAUUAUAAUUUCUAUUGAUAUGAUUUAUUCAAUAUAUAAUAAAUAUGAAGAAAAGUGUAUUUGAAAAUAAAGGAAAUAUUAUAAAAUUAUGUUAGCAUGGAGGUCAUUGAUUAUUAUGAAAAUAAAAAGAGGGUAAAUGAUAUAUAUUAAUUUCAGUAAGGGAAAAAUUAACAAUCUUUUUUCUAAGAAUAAUAAUAUGUUUACAAAUUUCAGAUUCAAAUUUGAGGUACAACAAAAUACUCAAAUCUUUUAAAUUAACUUUGUGACGGUAUUUUAAAAAAAAAAAUUGUGAUGGCAGCCCCGAUAUCUAGCUGGCUUAAAAUGGAUUGAAUAUAUUUCCAGAUACUGUAUUUUGAAAAAAGAUCACCGCCAUUAAAAGACGAGAGGGACUCAAAUGUAGAUGAUGCAUGAUCUACCAUUUUUUCAUUUGAAAAAUAAUUUUAGUGCAUGGUCAAUCUUGAUCUUUUUUGAUAGCUUUGGCCAAUUUCUGUAUCCCGCAGCCUAGAAGUCGACACUAGUAAAUAUUAAUAGGCGGCAAUGUAUCUUGAUCUUUUGGCACGUUCAAUUAAGCACUGAAUUAGUAUUGAACUUUGCUUUCGAAUUAGUUCAAUAUUUUGACAAUUUUUGACAUUUAUAAUAUUGAAAUAAUCUAUCUUUAAUUUUGCAAAAAGCCAUCCACAGCCUGGCCUAGUAUAAGUUUCAGCUUUGUCAUUAUCUCAUUUGAAUAGACUGUAUUGAACUCCAAACAGUCCUAGAUAUCUUUUUUUUUUUUUUUUUUUUCAGAAGAACGGUCCUAGAUAUCGCAUAAACUUAAAGUGAUAAGUUUUUUUUUUUAUAAUUAUAUUUUACUGGUUUCAUGUUAUUGUCAAUUUGAAUCCUUGACCAACUACUCUCAUUUUCUUGGAUCAUAAAAGUUACAAAAUUAUGAAUAUUAUAAAAGCGAUAUUGACGCAUUUUUCUGAAGUUUUCGCAAGGUUUAUAUUAUUUUGUGGUUGGAAUUGUCCGUGAAAGUUUUUACAUUGAUUAAUAACAAAGUACCAAUAACAAAGUAAUAAAAUAAAAUAACUUGCAAAUUACUCAAUCAAAUCUCUAAGGUCACCCCUCAAUUUUGAUCUAUAAAAAAGAUAUACGCUAAAAAGUUAAUAUAGGCUGUCAUUUUCCUUAACGACUGUUAUAAAUUUUUGCCACAAAAAUAUUUGCCUAUAUCCAAUUACCGAACAUGAUUGUUCAGACUCUUGUAAAGGCAAAACAUGGACAUUUUAUUUGACUCUUAAGAGUGAUUCAAUAACCACGUGGGUUUGAAUUUUGACUACGGUGACCGAGGACGAAUUAAAAUACUGAGCAAUUAACAUAUACAGUUAUCCAAAAGUACGACUUGAUCGCUUACAAUUUUGCAUGCAUCAAGAUCAAGUUGCUAGUAAAGUCUCUAAUUAAAUUAAUUAUCAACUUGCUGUUUAUUGUCUUCUGAGGUCAUGCAGUGAAAUGAAUGUGGUCAUUUGUUUUUGUUUUCCUUCUCCUUUUUCAUUGGGCAAUGAAUUGAUACGUUGCUUGAUAGUCGUCGUUGAUAAUUAUUUGGACCGAUCGACAUUAUGCAGAGAGGAAAUUAUUGAGAGCGAUGGAACUUAUAAUUGAUUGCUUGAUAUGAUUUGCCGAUUCAUCAACAACUAUUUUAAAGGAGAUGUUUUGAUAUAUGUAGUCUAGUGUUGAGAAAGUAAUAAUCUUUAUGACGUAAUAAUGGAAAUCCGUGGUAUUCAAAGAACGAAGAUACUUUGGGAAAGAAAAUACAAUACGAAAAAAAAUUGUAAUGCAUGAUGCUUCGAUGUUAUUCUUUUUGAAAAAAAAUUAUUUGUUUUCUUAAUUUAAUUUUUCCUAAAGUUGCCAACAAUCCCAUUAUUGAAUUAUUGGUUGGUUCCUCCUCCCUGUAACCCUAAGUUGGAGGUUUCGAGUUUUCCUAAUAAUUGUAUGAGUAAUUUCUUAUAUGCAUUGGGCUUUAAUAUAUAAAAAAAAUAUCCAGACUUCAUAAAAUGGAAAACAACUAAAAUUCGCUAUUGUUUGGAGAAAAUAUUUGCUUCCCCUCUUAUGUUUCAAAAUUCACUAAAACCUCUAACAUUAAUAAUAUCCUGUUAAUUAUCAAAGUUUUUACUUCAAAAUUAGUGUCAAACUUCAUUUAUUUUUCAACAAUAAAAUUCACCUAUUUAGAAAAUUUUGAAUUUAUUCAGCAACUCACUCGAAAUUUACAAAUUACAUGUAUUGAUUUUUCACUUUUUCGUUAAAAAAGUUGUAGUAUCUCAAUAAAAUAAUUAUUUUAUCCUUAAAGUGUAAUUUAAUAAAGGAUAAAAAAUUGAUACUGUUUGUAAUCAUUGUGUGGAAAUUAAUACAUUUUCAAAUCCUCAGGUGGCCCACCACAAUCACAUACUUUAUGUAUGUGACAUUAACAUGUUAAAUUUUAAAUUAUCCUUGUGACAUCAUUGAAAUUUAAUAUCAAUUAACCUAAGGUAGAAAGUAAUAAAAUAUUUGUAAACAGUAUGUGAGCAGCUUAAAUUCAAGUUUUUCCAGUAUUUUUGAACAUUAACGAAACUUCCAAUGACUAAUAAUUUUUCUUUUCUCAAAAUUCAAAAGAUUUGUAUGGGCAAAAAGUUUUUGGACUAAUAUUUUUUUUUUGGGAACAAAAUUCAUAGCACAUAUGUCGUUUAUUCCCUUAUUAUUUAUAUAUUAUUUAUACGAAAAUAUAGGAGGUGGGCAGAGCCCAAAUAUGUGUCAUGACUUACUAUUAUUUAAUCGCACAAUACUUCAUCAUUUGAAUUUGUAACAACUAACUAUUCAUUGAUCAGUGCAAUGGUUAAAUCUAAAAUUAGAAAUUGAACUAGUACUCAAUAUUGCCAAAACAUCAAUUCAUCUAUCAGAUAUAAUAGAAUACCGUGAACCGGCCAAAAAUAGUUUGCUAUGAACCACCUCCUUUUCUUUCCCAUGUAUGUUAGUAAGGUUCAGUACCUUUUGUAUAUAUUAUAAAUAUUGAUUUUCUUUGUCCCUUUAGGAUUUAAAAAACUUUUCAUUCCUAAAUUAUAAAAACAUCAUUUGAAAAAAAUACCAAUGAUGCACCAUAAAUAUCUACAUUAUGAGUAAUGUUAUAAGUACAAAUUCUUAUACAAAUAAUUUUUAUAAAAAUUGAUGUAGCAUUAUAUAAUGGUUGAGGCAAAAUAAACUUACAUAAAGUUAUGUAAUGCCACAUCAGUUUAAAGAGAAUAAUUGUAGUCAUAUCAUUACUCUUAAAUUAUUAAUAGGUCAUGUUAAGUUAUAUUAUAUGUAGCUUACAAUAAACUUAAAAAUAAUUACCUAUAAUUCUCAUUUAUUUCACAUUAUAUUAUUUUGUAAUAUUAAAUAACUACUUUUAACUUACUAUAAGUUAGAAUAUAUGUAAGCCACUAGGCUAAAGCCUCACAAUUGUGAGGUCAUGGGUUCGAUCCCACACAACGUAUUGUGGGAGUUAAUUUCUUUACUCAAUUUGAGUGAAGACAACAUUCUUUCUUUCGGAGUGGACGUCUCUCGAAUAUUAGAAAAAAUUAAAAUCUAGGCUGCGAACGUCCCUCGAAUAUUAAAGAGAAUUAAAAUUUAGGCUAUGAUAUAUAAGAUUUAUAAAUUAAUCUCAAUAAUUGUCUGAUUAUAAAUAUCAGUAUACUAAUUUCAUUAAAUAUGAAUUAUAAUUUAAAUAUUAGUCUUAUGUAAUUAAAACAAAAAAGUUAGAAUAUAUGUAACUUGGCAGCUAUAGUUAUUAAUUUCCUUCCCCUUGACUUUCGUAUUGCAUGGUAUGCUGACUUCUUGACUGGAGGGAUCGGUCAAGGUACAUGGCUAUGACGCACGCCACCGAACCGAAAUAAUUGACAGUGACACUCAAUAAUAAACAUCUAUGCCUCUGUCACUACUGACUGACGACCCAAUACUGUUGAAUUUCAACGUUGAACAUUGACGAUCUAUAUCAAUUAUAAUUGUUAUUAUUAAUAUUUCUAUUAAUUUUUUUAAAAUGUGAAUGAAUGUAUCUGGCUAAUUGACCGUUUUAUUUAUUUUAUUCUUGAAAUAAAAUUAUUUAAAAUAUAACAUCAAGCAUAUAUUUUAGUAACAAUAAUUAAUGAUACGGAUUUCGAUCUUCUGUUUUUCACAAUUAUGUUACACAUGGCAACUGUAAAUUUUAAUGGUCAAAAUUUUUUGACCUUUCUUUAUUUCCUUAAUAAUCAAAUCAGUUUUUUUUUUCUUAGUUUUUUAGGUUUUUUUUUUGUUUCGUUUGAAGUUUGAGAUGUAAAUUUGACUAAAAUUUGAACGAGUUGGAGGUAGAUGAGUGAAUAUAUAUAUAUAUAUAUAUAAGUCACAUUUUAUUUAUUUUUAUAAAUAAAAAAAUAUCUUAAUUAUUUAUAUAUCACAUUUAUACUUUCGUAAGUUAAAACGAAUAAAAAGAUUAGGUUUUAUACUAUACGUAACAUGUUUUUGGAUUUUGUAAAUAAAAGGGAAAAGAAUACUCGUAGAGGCGGAUUCACCUCAUGAUCAAUGGGGGCUCAAGACUCUCUUGGAAAAAAAAUAAUUUAAAAAAAUAAUUGUUAAAUUUAUAAACAUAGUCUCAUAAACUCAUAACAUAAAAUUUAAAUUUUAACUUUGAGAAUUAUAAAAGCUCAUAAUUUAAUUUUAAAAAAUAAAAUCUAAUAGUAACCCAUAUGGGUGUUUACUCCCAUUAAAUCAAUAAAAAUAUCUUCUAUAAAUUCUUUAACCCAUAAAAUUUUAGUUUUCACAUCUUAUCAAUAUGUAAUUUGGUCUCCCUUUAAAAAGCAUUUUUUUUUUAAUUUGCCACUGGACAUUGACACUCUUAUGAUUUGGUAAAAUGGUCACAAAGAUCUCACAUUUUCAUAAAGGGUGACACAGAUCUAUUUUGGAUGCACAAACUUAUUUUUUAGACAAAUCUUAGAGGUUUAUAUGAGUUUUGUGAUCAUUCUGUAACACAAAGAAGGUUUAUGUGUCAUUGCAAGACAUUGUAUGGUCUUUUCAAACACAAAAAUGGGUCUAUAUAUUUUGAAAAAAAAGUUUGGUCUAUAUAUUUUGAAAAAAAAAGUUUAUGUGACCAUUUCAAAAAAAAGGGGGUCUCCAUAACCAUUUCCUCAAGUUAAGGGGAUGUUGGUGUCUUUUUUAUUAAAUGGAAAAUAUGAACAUGGUUAGUUGACAUUUAUAUUUUUAUAAGUCAAAACAAAUAAAGGGAUUAGAUUUUAUAGUUUAGUAAAUAAGUAUAUUUGAUAGAGAUAUUUUUUAAGAUUUACUUCCCAUUUAGACAUUUUCUCAUUUAAAUAGAAGUCACAAAACCUAUUCAUAUGCAAAUGUAUGAAAAUCCAAUAUAAAUAACAAAAAAAAAGAGUAAAUUUCAGAAAUAUUUAAAAGUAAUAAAAGGGGAAAGAACAACUACACCUCCAAAAUUUACGAAAAUGGUCAUGAAGAUCCAAAUUUUUCAAUGACGGAUACUCUAAUGUUUUGUAAUAAUUAGAAAUAUAAAAUUAAAAGAAACAUAAUAAUAUAUAAAAUUUUAAAAAUAGUAUCACAAUUUAAAAAUAUUUUAUUAUUUUACAAUUUAUUAGACAUAUUUUAUUAUAUUGAAGUAAAAUAUAAUAAAUAUAUCAAAUUAUUCUGAAUAUUCUGAAAAGUAAUAAUUCUAAUAUUAUUAAUACGUGAGAUAUUUUAUUAAUUAUAAAAUCUACUUGACCUAAAGAUUUAUUAAUAAUCUUUAUAAAAUAAUACAAAUAUAUUAUUAAAAUAAAUAUAAUAAUUUACAUAUUUAAAAUUAUUUUAUUAGUUUACUAGAAAGAUUAUAUUAUUUAUAUUACAUUUGUAUUUACUAAAAAAAUUUAAAUCAAUUUUUAGUUACUACAUUCAAAGAAUAUUAUGGUAAAAAUGGGGUCUUAGUAUUCCUUUUUGAAAACUUAAGUGUUUGCAUGACCAAUUCCCUAGAUUUUGAGAAUGUAGCUGUCAUUUUCCCUUAUUAAAAUUUCAGAUUUAAGACGUUUUACACAUAAACCUUUUGUUUCUAGGUAAAUGAAAUUAAUCUAUACGUCCCAUUAAGAAAUAAUAUGUUAGUUUAAUAGAAUUUCUUUAACAACCAACUUAAUGAUUCUUUUAACUUCUGUUAAUAAUCAAUAAAUAUUAUUUUUUGGUUGAAAAAUUCACAAAUCCUAAAACUCAUUGCAUGCUUAAAGAAGGUGUGAGAGAGGAAUUCCCGUAUAAUGUCCGAAAUCAAAAUUUUUAUAGAAAAUUAAUCUUGGUGUUGUAAGAAAGAUUUCUUCAACUAGUUCUAGUGAGUUCAAGAUGAUAAAAUGAUAGGAAUUACCUACACGGAUCAUGUUGUCUUUGCUAUCAUCAUGUGAGCAAUUGCUAGUUUUAUUUAUUUAUUUAUUUUUUAAUUUGUAGGUAUUUUUCCACGAAGCUAUUUAGUGGCGAAUAAUUGAUGAAUAUACACAUCUAUUGAACUCACUUGGCCUAAAACAUUAUUAUUAUUAAAAUUUAUAUUGUAAAGAUAAAGUGCACAUGUGAAAGAAUCUUGAACUGUUGUGUUUGGUGAAACAGAAAGCACGAGAAAAUUAACAGAAGACACAUAAUAGAAGCUUGUAGAAGAUUCUUAUUAAAUCAUUAAAAUGAAUAUCGAGUACAUAUUUAUAGAGAAAUAAUUGCUCUUUCUCAAUUCAUUCUACACACAUGAGCUGAGCUUGAUAUACCCUAAACUAACUAAUUCUGCUACAUCAGCAAAUAUAGUGAGCUAAUCAACUGCCGUAGGUUAUAUACUAUCAAUAUGCUCUGACUUUCAUUCAUCACCGUACUCAUUAACACCACCUCUCAAGCUGAAAUGUCUAGGAUUGACAUUCAGCUUCUUGUGUAAAUAAUUGAAUUGCUUAAAGGUAAAGGCUUUGGUCAAAACGUCUGCUGUUUGAUCUUCACUAGGUACAAAGCAAACUUUUACCUUCUUUGCUACAACUCUGUCUCGAAUGAAUGCCCAGUUCUAAAUGCUUUGUUUUUUCAUGAUAAACUGAAUUGUAAGCUAAGGCUAUUGCCCCUUGAUUAUUACACCAUAAAAUUGGGAUAAUGGCAAGAUUAAUGUGAAGCUCUGCAAGUAAAAAAUGAAUCAAAGUUACUUCGGAUGCUGCAUGAGAUAAUGCUCUAUAAUUAGCCUCUGUUCUUGACCUAGAGACAACUACUUGCUUCUUGGAGGACCAUGAAACCAAGUUGGGACCAAGGUAAAUUGUAAAGCCAACCAUUGACUUCCUAUCAUCUCUAUCACAUGCACAAUUAGAAUUUAUAAAAUAUUUGAUCUGCAUAGCACCAUAGGUAUAGAAUUGUAGUCCAAAGUGAAUUGUACCCUUCAAGUAACGCAAAAGUCUUGUGCAAGCUUCCCAAUACUGAGUUCUUGGACAUGACAAGAACUGGCUCAACUUGUUUAUUGAGAAGGCAAUUUCUGGCCUUGUGAGAAUGAUAUAUUGUAAGGCUUCUACAACACUUUUAUACCGUGAUACAUUUUCAAUUAUAUCACAUGUUCUUUGGUAAGAUGAUGACUUGUAGACAUAAGACAUAAGAGUAGGCACUGGAUUACAAUUAACCAUAUCAUUUCUUGCCAAAAGAUCAGCAAUAUACUUGGCUUGUGACAUGAAUUCCAGUUUCUAAUUUGGUAACUUCAAUGCCCAUAAAAUAAUUGAGUUCUCCUAAAUCCUUUAGAGCAAAGGUUUGCUGCAUAUCUUGAAUAGUUUAUUGAAUAUGAUCUGAACUAGAGCCUGUAAUAAUAAUUUCAUUCACAUAAACUAGGACUAGAAGCAAAUGACCAUUGGGAUUCAUGUAAAAUAGUGAAUUAUCUAACUUGGAAAUCUAAAAAUUUCAUUGAGAGACCAUGGCAGAUUUGAAUCUAUUAAAUCAAGCCCUUGGUGCUUACUUUAAGCCAUACAAAGCUUUUUAACUUGUAGAUAUGUUGAGGUUUACAUGGAUUUACAAAGCCUUCAGGCUGAGCCAUGUAUUCUUCCUCAACAAGUAUGCCAUUUAGAAAAGCAUUGUUCACAUCCACCUGUCGAAUGACCCACUUAUGCAUAACAGUAAUGCUUAAAACAAUUCUAACUUUUAAGGCUUUAACCACUAGACUGGAAGCUUCAUUAUAAUCAACCUUAAGUGUCUGAUGAAAACCCUUAGCCACCAACCUUGCUUUAUACCUUGAAAUAGUGCCAUCAACAUGAUAUGUAAUCCUGAACACCUAUUUGUUACCAACAACCUUGAUAGGGGUGUUUGGUAUAACUAAAGCUCAUGUAUCAUUAUGUUGUAAUGCCCGAAACUCCUCUUACAUUGCCCACACUGGAUCAGCUAAGUCUUGAGAAACUUAUAUAGGUUCAAAAGGUUUAAAAAAUGCCAGUUUUGGACCUAGUUAUCAUGGAGUAUCUAGUUGGUGGAGAUGCAGGCAAAUUACGUGGUGGUGAAUGAUGAGACAUAGGUAACGCAUCUGAUGAGGAGGUUUGAGAAAGAGAAUGCAGUGAAUAGUCUUGAUGAAAAAAAUAAUGAUAAUGUACUUGAGAAGAAGAAGAAGUCGAAGCUGCGGGAUCAAAUGCUAUAGGUGCUACUAAGGGGGCUUGUAACUGAAUAAUAAGAGAUAUUGGUGAAGAUUGGAAAUCAUACUUGGACUCAGAGGAUAAAGUUGGAGAACAACUAGUUGUGACUGAAGAUAAAUCCAUGCCAACAGCAUAAGAGAAUGAUUGUUCAUUAAAAAAAUCAUGAUUAGAGACAUAGACUUUCCCUGAAAAAUGAAGACAUUGAUAGCCUUUAUGAUGAGAAUUGUAACCUAUAAAGAUACACCUACCAAUUCUAAUUCAAGUUUGUGUCUAUUAUAAGGUCUAAGAUAAGGAUAACAAGCACAACAAAAAAUUCUAAGGGAAAAAUAGUCUGGUUUCUGAAGUAAGAGUUUAUGAUAAAGAUAAAUAUUUUGUAAAGUUGGUGCAGGAAGCAUGUUGAUCAAGUAGACAUCAAUAUGAAAUGCAUUCCACCAAAAUUUCAAAGAUAAAUGUACCUGUGCUAAUAAAAUAAGACUAAUAUCAACAAUGUAUAUGUGUUUCCUCUUUAUUCUACCAUUUUUUAUGAUGAAUGUGGGGACAAUGAUGUCUAAAAUGUAUCUUUGAAGUGUUAAAGAAAGAACAAAAGUUUUGAAUUCCUCUCCUUAGUCAGUUUGAAUAGAUUUAAUAUGUUUAUGCAGUUAAUUUUCAAAUAAGGUUUUAAAGUUGGAAAAAUACUUCAAGUGCCUCGGAUUUGGUUGGUAAAAGAAAAAUCCAAGUAAACCAACUAUAGUAAUCAUGAAUAGAGAGAUAAUAGGUGUAUUCUUGAGUGGAAGGGAUAUGAGAUGGUCCCUAAAGUUUUGCACAUAGCGAUUGUAAAGGUUCUGUAGUUUUGGUUUGCACAGAAUCAAAAUACAGCUAUGUUUUUUGCUUUAUUAAAUUGACAAGCAUUGCAAAACUCUAUGUUUUUUGCUUUAUUAAAACUAGCAAGGUCAUUACAAGAUUUCAGUACAACUUUCAAAGUAUAGAUUGAAGGAUGUCCUAGUCUUUUAUGAAGAAGAUUUACAUCAACUAGUUUCAAAAUGAUAGCAGACAAACAUGAUCUUUGGGACUGGAAUGAAUAAUAAGAACAACAAGCAAACAAAGACUCAAAUUUAUUUUGAUUGACAAGAACUAUAUUAGUAUCAACAGACUGAGAUUUAUUUUGACUGACAAGAGCUGCAAUGGUAGUAACAGACUAAAGAGAAGAAUAUGAAGAUUGUAGUCUAUAUAAGCCUCCCACAACAACUCCCUCAAGCAGGAUGAUCUACGUGCUCUUAGCCUUAUAAAACAGAAAUUCUCAACAAAUUCAACAGUAACAUAGUUAUUAGACAACAAUUUAAAGACAUUAAGUAGUUUUGGUAAUUUUUAGUACAUGUAAAACAUGAUUUAGAAGUAAUAGUUCAUGUGUAGUUAUAGCAAGCAAAGUUGAUCCAAUAUGAUGAAUGUGCAAUGCAUUUCCAUUUCCAAGAAUCGACUAUUCACUGCCAAUGUAGAUUUUAAGGUCAAAAAGUUUACCUAAAUCAUUGGUGAUGUGAUUGGUAGCUCCACUGUCAAUGUACUAGGAGCGAUCUUUAGCUCAUGCCAUUCCCUUAAAUCUAUUUCCAGGAACAAGAGAAGUAAUGUAAUUACCAGGAAAGCUAUGAGUGAAAGUAUUGUCUACAACAAGAGCACCAGUAUAAGCACCAGCACCAAGAUCUGAAUACACCAUAUGCCCUUGAAAUCGAUAGUUUCUUGGCAUGUAAGAGUAACCAAAGUUAGGUCCAAAACCCAUGCCAAAACCAAUAAAGCCUCUACCUCUACCAUAUCGUCCUUGAUUAGGUCUGUAUCCUCUAAGAAAAUUACCUCGGUCAUAGUUCUUUUAAAGAACAAAAGAAGAAUUGUAUAUGUUCUUGCACCUAUUUGCUCCAUGGCCAAGAAUAAAGCACAUCUGACAAAUAACAUCAAGAGAAUUUCCUCCACCAUUGAAUUGUCCAAAGCUAGGAUUAAAUCCCCCAAAAGCUGAGUUACCAUAAUUAUUUACACCUCCAUAAGUUUUUUUAAGACCACUAUUAUUCCUUCCAGAAUAGAAAACUAUUUGAAUUACAUUUGCAGUCAUGUUAUGCAUAUCAUCACUAGCAAUAUUUCCUUUCUCAUGCUCAAUCCUAAUCUCAUGACUAAGUAGUAAAUAAUACAAAUCAUCUAGUGAUUUUUUCUCCCCUAACUAGAACAACAGUAACCAAAGAUUCAUACUUAGAAGAAUCAAAUCUAGUUAACACAUGCAUAAUAAAAUCAUUCAACUCAACUGGUUUCCUAGUUAAAACUAAGAUAUCAACUAUACGUUUGAUUUUAGCAAAGUAAUCACCCAUAUUCAUAGAUCAUUUUUAAUAGUUUUAAAUUUGUAUUAUAAGAGUUUGAAUUCGAGCUUGAAAUUGUGAAAUGAAAAUACUAGUAAGUGAAUCCCAAAGUUGUUUUGAGGUUCCACAAUCGAUGACAGUUGAAAGAAGAUUUUACUGAAUUAAAGACAACAUCUAGGUCAAGAGGAGUUGAUCAGUUUUCAACUAGGCUGUAAACUCAGGAUUUGUAGAUCUGGAUCCAUUCUUUACUAAAGAUCCAGCUUCAUCUAUGCUCUCAUGAGGAAGAAACUGCUCUAGACAUGCACGAUCUCCAUUAAUGAAAUCUUCCAUGCCACUGCCUUUAAUCGAAGCUAGAACUUGUGUGCGCCAUAGGAUAAAGUUGUGUUGAUCAAGUUUAACCAGUGUAACAAAGCUAUAAGAUGGAUUAUUUUGAGCUAGGUUUACCAUAGCUAGCUCUGAUACCAUGAAAAAAUCUUGAACUGUUGUGUUUUGUGAAAGAGAAAGCAUAGAAAAAUUAAGAGAAAAAACAGAAUAGAACCUUGUGUAAGAUUCUUAUUAAAUCAUUAGAAUGAAUACAUAGUACAUAUUUAUAGAGAAACAAUUGUACUUUCUCAAUUCAUUCUACACACGUGAGUUGAGCUUGAUAUAUGCCAAACUAACUAACUAACUAAUUCUGCCACAUCAGCAUGUAUAGUGAACUAGUUAGCUGCUGUAGGUUACAUACUAUCAAUAUGCUCUGCAUUUCAUUCGUCACCAUAUUAACUAACAGCGUGUGAACAUAUUAAAUUUCUAAAAUCUUUGGCUCUUAAUUACGUAGUAAUUUGGUAUAUUAGAACAUCACUAAAAUAUUCUUUGAAUUUGAUUUUUUAAACAUUUUUUUACCUAUGGUGGUAAAUAGAAAGAAAUAAAAAAAUUAGCCAUCUCCCAAAAGACUCUUUAAAUAAAAAUAAUUUCAUAUUAUUUUAAUCAAAUUUUUUUCUCCACCAAAAUAAUAACAAUUUUAACACAUCUCUCCCUUUAAGAAUGAGAAAAUAAAAAAAUAAUAUAAUACUAAAUUGAAUAUUACAACAGACUCUUCAAAUGAGAUUUUUCAAGAAAAUAUCAUUCUCUCUCUUUAGUAUUAAGGAGAGAGAAGAAUAAUCUCAUUUAAAGAAUUUCAUUUGAAAAGUCUUUUGGAACACUUUUUACUUAUAUGACUUUUCAAAUGAUAAGUAAAAUCUCAUUUGAAGAAUUGUUAGUGAUGUUUUAAGUGUGUCAAAUUUAAUUACCUUAAUGGAAAGAAUCAAGGCAAGGAUAUUAAUGGUUAUGGAAACAUUAAUCUCAAACCAAGGAAUCAAUCAAUCUCGAUCAUUUUCCAAGAUUAUGAUGCUGUAGGAUCUUGACACCAAUUUUAUAUAAUAUCUGCUGAAGAAAGAGUGGAACAACAAGACCAGAGUUAUCAUUUACACGUAUAACCUGUCUUGGAACCAGUGAUAGAAAGAAACUUGAUUUACUUAAUUUAAGACUUUUGGUUUGUUUCAUUUGAAUUUAGAGUGAUGCAUGUGCUCAUUCAACAUGAAUGUGGCUUUUUCGACAUUGAAAAACAAAAUUGGACGACUUUGUGUUUACACUAAAAGAGAGAGAAAGAGAAAUGAGAAUGCGUAAGCAAAAAACCUACCCGUGGCUUUCAUACCAUUCUUUGUGUUGGUGGGACUCUCCUCUAGAUUCCGUUCUUAAUUUUAUCUCUCGGGAUGCCAAUGGCUUAAACCGAAGACUACACUAUCUAUUUCCGGCAUGUUUGGUUGCAUUUGUGGAAUUUCGAUGCCAAUGGCUUAAACCGAAGACUACACUAUCUCUUUUUCCAUACCUUUUUGUGGAAUUUCGCACCUUUGUUCUUCUUUUGACUGAUAUAUUUGAUGUUUCUAUUUUAAUAAAGUUCUUUUCCUUUUAUCGAGGUUCACAAAAAUAAAUAUCUUAAUUGAAAUUGAAAAUUCAAAAAGAAAAAAGAAAAUCAGGAAUGAAUGCUUGUUUUGAUUUUUAUUUUCCAAGAUUAAUUAUUAAUGAGAUCUCAACUUUUCAAGGAUAUCUUAACAAUAUUUCUAAUCUUUAUUUCUCUUAUUUACUUUAUUUCUAUUUGUCUUGGGACAAUGUAACUCAGAGCUCUAACGUUUGUUUAAAUUUACACGAUUCCUUUGAUUGAAAAAAUAAUUAAACGUACAAUUUUUUGACAAUUGUUUAUGUCAUUUGACAAAGUGACAAAUAAAAUAUUUUAAACUUAUAUAAUAGAUAAAGAAUAAAAAUUUAGAAAAAGGAGAACUACAUCCCCUAAUGGUUUGAAAAAUGAUCAUGCAAAAUCCUAAAUUUUCAAUAAAGAGUGAGGCUAUUUAAACCCACCAAUUUCCUUUAUACACUUACUUUUUAAUAAAAAAUUCUAUUAUCAAAAUAAUUUUUUUAAAUUACUUAAUUAACUCUUUUUUUCUCUUUAUCUUGUCAAUUUUACAAAUUCCCAUCAAUUUAUUUGUAUAUAUUAUUUUAGCUGCAUAUAAUUAGUAUCACUAACUAAGCAAAACAAAACCCACCAUUUAAAAAUGAAUAUGAACAAAUUUUAUCAGCCAUGAAAAUUAGUGAAUAUAAAAAAUUCUUAAUAUAAAACAAGAUGUACUAAGAAAGGCCAAAAAAUAAAUUUAAGAGAGAAUGAAUUGAGUAUUUAAUUUACAGAUUGUGAAAGUAGAGAGAAAAUAUACAGUUG
rnacentral:lncRNA from 1 species